rnacentral:rRNA from 1 species
AGGGGGUGCAGCAGGCGCGAAAACUUUACAAUGCCGGCAACGGCGAUAAGGGGACCUCGAGUGCCAGGUUACAAAUCUGGCUGUCGUGAUGCCUAAAAAGCAUUGCAUAGCAAGGGCCGGGCAAGACCGAUGCCAGCCGCCGCGGUAAUACCGGCGGCUCGAGUGGUGGCCACUAUUACUGGGCUUAAAGCGUCCGUAGCUGGUCUGUUAAGUCUCUGGGGAAAUCUACCGGCUUAACCGGUAGGCGUCUCAGGGAUACUGGCAGACUAGGGACCGGGAGAGAUGAGGGGUACUCCAGGGGUAGGAGUGAAAUCCUGUAAUCCUUGGGGGACCACCUGUGGCGAAGGCGCCUCACCAGAACGGCUCCGACAGUGAGGGACGAAAGCUGGGGGAGCAAACCGGAUUAGAUACCCGGGUAGUCCCAGCUGUAAACGAUGCGCGUUAGGUGUAUCGGUGACCACGAGUCACCGAGGUGCCGAAGGGAAACCGUGAAACGUGCCGCCUGGGAAGUACGGUCGCAAGGCUGAAACUUAAAGGAAUUGGCGGGGGAGCAC